GGAUCUUUUGAUCACAUAAUACACUUGUCGCACCUUCCAUUUCAUUCAUCUUGUAUUGAUCCUAUAAGUUAUAUCUCCACCUAAAACUCAAUGGAACCCAGAUACUUGAUAAUGAUAAUUUUUAAGGUAGUAACAUUCAUCUUAUUUUGUUUCUACUUCUAUCUAUAGUUGUGGGCAGUUGCAUGUGGAAUGAAUUUUAAUUAUAAUUAGGAUCAAUGGGCAUGUCUACACUUAGGACAAGUUCUUUUGCACUCUUAUAAACUUGUCUUCCAAAUUUCAUUGGUUAGUAUGUUUUUGAGAGAAUAUAUAGAGUUACAAUUAAAUGAUUAUGUAUGUUGAAAAAUGAGUUGUUUCCUAUUAAUUAAUUUCCCUACAUAUUACAAAAAUUUUAAUAAGUCUCUUUAUCUCUUAGCAUUCUUACAAUUACUAUGCCUUUUUCUUCAUUGUUAUUUCCUUCAUUGUGCUUUGUUCAAGUUAUUGUUUUACAUCAUUUAAAUAAUAAAGCAACACAACAGGAAGCAAUAACCAUAAAAUGGUGACUCAGUGUAUGAAGUAUUUCACACUUGUAGGCUAUAAGGAGGGUUGAUGUACGUAGCCAUGCCCUCACUUUAUAGAGAAUCUAUUUUUGUGGCUUGAACCUUUGACCUCCAAGUCACAAAUGGUGUAACUUUACCGUUACACAAAAAUCACUCUCCAGCAAUGUUAUGCUUUAACAAAUAUAUUAUUGGUUGAUAUUAUUUAAAUGGUGCAAUAUCGUGUUGCAUCAUUCAUUAUUGCAUCAUAUAAAUAUUGUGACUUAUGCCAUGCUUACAUCAACAAAUGGUAAGUACUCCCUCUAAAUAAUGGCCAAAAAAAA
rnacentral:misc_RNA from 1 species